UUCGGCCUAUGGGGGGCAGCAGUGGGGAAUAUUGCACAAUGGGGGAAACCCUGAUGCAGCGACGCCGCGUGAGCGAGGAAGUAUUUCGGUAUGUAAAGCUCUGUCAGCAGGGAAGAAGAAUGACGGUACCUGAAGAAGAAGCACCGGCUAAAUACGUGCCAGCAGCCGCGGUAAUACGUAUGGUGCAAGCGUUAUCCGGAUUUACUGGGUGUAAAGGGAGCGCAGGCGGUUCUGCCAGUCUGAUGUGAAAGCCCGGGGCUCAACCGCGGGACUGCCUUGGAA
rnacentral:rRNA from 1 species